UACGGAGGGUGCAAGCGUUGUCCGGAAUUAUUGGGCGUAAAGAGCUCGUAGGCGGUCUGUCGCGUCUGCUGUGAAAACCCAGGGCUUAACCCUGGGCCUGCAGUGGGUACGGGCAGACUAGAGUGCGGUAGGGGAGAUCGGAAUUCCUGGUGUAGCGGUGAAAUGCGCAGAUAUCAGGAGGAACACCGGUGGCGAAGGCGGAUCUCUGGGCCGUAACUGACGCUGAGGAGCGAAAGCAUGGGGAGCGAACAGG
rnacentral:rRNA from 1 species